GUUGUAUAGUCAAGUAAUUAAGUGCAUGUGGUGGAUGCCUUGGCAGUCAGAGGCGAUGAAAGACGUGAUAGCCUGCGAAAAGCUCCGGGGAGGCGGCAAAUAUCCUUUGAUCCGGAGAUGUCUGAAUGGGGGAACCCACCUACUUUAAGGUAGGUAUUGCAACAUGAAUACAUAGUGUUGCAAGGCGAACGAGGGGAAGUGAAACAUCUCAGUACCCUUAGGAAAAGAAAUCAAUUGAGAUUCCCUCAGUAGCGGCGAGCGAACGGGGAUCAGCCCAUUAAGUUAUGUGUGUUUUAGUGGAACGCUCUGGGAAGUGCGAACGUAGAGGGUGAUAUUCCCGUACACGAAAGGGCACACAUAAUGAUGACGAGUAGGGCGAGGCACGUGAAACCUUGUCUGAAUAUGGGGGGACCAUCCUCCAAGGCUAAAUACUCCUGACUGACCGAUAGUGAACCAGUACCGUGAGGGAAAGGCGAAAAGAACCCCUGUGAGGGGAGUGAAAUAGAUCCUGAAACCGCAUGCAUACAAGCAGUGGGAGCACCUUCGUGGUGUGACUGCGUACCUUUUGUAUAAUGGGUCAGCGACUUAUAUUCAGUAGCGAGGUUAACCGUAUAGGGGAGCCGUAGAGAAAUCGAGUCUUAAUAGGGCGUUUAGUUGCUGGGUAUAGACCCGAAACCAGGCGAUCUAUCCAUGAGCAGGUUGAAGGUUGGGUAACACUAACUGGAGGACCGAACCCACUGUCGUUGAAAAGCCAGGGGAUGACUUGUGGAUAGGGGUGAAAGGCUAAUCAAGCCUGGUGAUAGCUGGUUCUCCCCGAAAGCUAUUUAGGUAGCGCCUCGGACGAAUACCAUAGGGGGUAGAGCACUGUUUCGGCUAGGGGGUCAUCCCGACUUACCAAACCGAUGCAAACUCCGAAUACCUAUGAGUACUAUCCGGGAGACAGACUGCGGGUGCUAACGUCCGUAGUCAAGAGGAAAACAAUCCAGACCGCCAGCUAAGGCCCCAAAAUCAUAGUUAAGUGGGAAACGAUGUGGGAAGGCAUAGACAGCUAGGAGGUUGGCUUAGAAGCAGCCACCCUUUAAAGAAAGCGUAAUAGCUCACUAGUCGAGUCGGCCUGCGCGGAAGAUGUAACGGGGCUAAAACUAUGUGCCGAAGCUGCGGA
rnacentral:rRNA from 1 species